CCACUCUGUCCAGCCCCUGCCCAGAGAGGACCACGGAGGACACAGGGACAUCCAGUUAGGAGGCCGGCUCAGCAGUGCCAGUGAGACAUCACAGAGAUUUAUAAAGGAGGUCGGGUCACCUGGCUUUAGUAGAUAAACGUGCUGGGAUUUGGAGACGCGUUAGACAGAGACGCCCGGGAGUUCACCUGCAGACAUGCCUCACCCGCCUCUACCGGCCCAACUUCUUCCCCGUGGGACCCGGGCACCGGCGCUGGCACCCACUGACCCGGGGUUGCCUAGUCCCCCUUCCCGCUCACCCUGGAAUCCGUACCACCCUCACUUCUAAGGAGAGGAAGGCAGCGUGCGCCCAGCUCUCUCCAGGCUGCUGUGAAGAGGCCCCGAGCGCAUAUUCACGCAGCCCGGGCACAGUCCGCACAACACUGUCCCCCGAAAAGUGAGGUCUAAAGAGAGCCUGCGGUCCAGGUCGGCGCGAUCUCCACUCUGGCACGGGUUUCCGCACAGUCCCUCCCUCACGCCCCUUAGCAAAAUUCCCGGUCCUAGCAAACGACUCCACGAGAGCACACAAAACAGGAAUCAGAGGACCUGCCCUGUCCUUUCUCAUAACUCGGGCCUUGGGGACUCAGAUUAACGCACAAAUCCAUUCCUCACUUGAGCUGCGUCUGGGGAAAUCAAUCGUGGUAACAGUGAGCCCCAAGGUCCUCGGUAUCUGAGACCCUGGUUACCGGGUGCGGCGAAAGGGCCGGUGCCUUGGACCCUGGCAGCUCUCGGGUCACUGUCGGCCCCUCCUUGCCCCGUGAGAGCUGCAGGAGCAUCCCGGGUCCCCCUGUCCUCUGACCCUUCUGAGGACUCAUUUAUGACUGAUUUGCCCUGACGUGUUCACCUUCUUUCAUAAAAUUGUCCUCAUCAGCCACCAUUUGUCCCUCCCCUAAAGUGGCGAUCACCCCUGGAACCAACUUCCCAGAUAUAUUUUCGAACAAAAUGGUUCCAGGACAAGCGGAACGUGGUGAUUUUUUUGUGUGCCUUAAUCCUAAGGUCGACAGCCAUCAUUCCCUGUAGGACCAGGUCCCAGAGGCUGCCUCCCCAAAUUAGACAAAUUACACUGAGAACCUACGACUACUCAGACCCCCGUGGAGAUUUCUUACCCAGAAACUUCCACAGGUGGGACAUAAACCCGCUGGUGACUGUCUAUCCUCUGACGUCUCAGCAGUGUAUCCCUACAUUGAUUGAUUUCAUAAGAAAUCGCAUUUAGAGAAAUCGAGAUUGUUGAUACUACUUAUAAUGUUUGAGGUCACUGGUUUUUAACUGAAUGUUGUUAGCCUCCUCAGCAAACUACUUCAUUCACAAGAACUCAAAUUCUUGUGGAUAAAUAAUGCUACCCAAUAUCCUCUUUGUAUUGUUGAAAAGAGAGUAAAGAACAAAAUGAUGGAUCAAAAUAAAACAGAGCUGGACAAAGAGGACUGACUUGGGUCACAAUGGCCCAAGCCCACAGGUAGUUCUGUAAAUGUCUGGACACUGAGUGGCCACCAGAAGUUGGCCCUUUAUCCAAGUACCUCCCGGGAAGGUCUGAUCUCUAGCUCCGGGGAACGCUCUGUGGAUCGAGCUUACAUGGCUUGGAUGGAGGUUGCUGAGCCCCCACAUUUUACUUUUUCUUCUGAGGAAGUUUCUUACCCCCAAAACUCUUACACCCCUGAAAGAAAAAUAAGCAAAAUGCAAGUCUUAUUUCCUUCUCUCAUACACCCCCUGGCUUCUAAAAUUUGUACCCUCUAUGGCUUCUUCUGACCCCAUCUCUCCUGAAGGGUGAAAAAUAAAUACAAACUCUCAGAGUAGGGAAGGAGCUGGGCCAGAAGCAGAAGGCAGGCAGGGGUCGCAGUGCCCAGAAGGAUUUGAAAUUUCCCCGUGCCCAUGGCCCAGGGCUGUGUAGGUAACCGUCUCCCCAGCGGAGGUCGGCCUCAGGGGGUUGCCCUGCAAGGCAGGCACAGUAAACAGGGUCUAAGAGUGGAGUUGUAAAAGAAACACUUCUUUCAAAAUAUAAAUCAAAUUGGUCUAGUGACCAAUAGCUGAAAAUCUACAGAUAUUUAAAACUGACAAAAGGCCCCAGAUGAGGCUGCUGGCCUGGGACAGCAGUCACAGCUCACACCUGAGCUGAUCUGAGUCUGUACAGGGAAAGGUGCCAUUCUGGAGUUGCUGGGUAUUUUCAAGGGGGGCAGAAGGGUCAGGGCAUCUUGGUUUGGAAACGAUUUAUUCACUCGUGUCGAAUCUAAAAUGACGCCCUGGAAGAUGAAGCAACCGCAGGGACCCGUGUGGUCCACCCCUGAGCGCCUGACACAUGGGCUCUGGCUUGAGCUGCCUAGGGAGGGUUAAGGUCGCUGACCAAGAGGCAGGGGCUGGCCACGUCUCCGGUGCAAGAGCCCCAGGGGUGGACAGUGGAGGCAGGGGCUCACCGGCUUCUAGAGCAGGGGGUCUGCAGCCCCGGGGCAGUCCUGGCAGCCUGAGGCCCCAGUCUUUACAGGCCGCAGUCGCUGCCCGGACAGUCUCCAAAUGGCCCUGCGCUCCAAAGCGGAUGGGAGUCACUGGACUGUCAAUUUCUCCCAAACAAUAAGAGAAGCCGGCCGCCUAGGCCCCUGUCCCCGCCUGUAAGAUACACAGGAUUCGCUUCUUGUUCUUGACAUUCGUCGUAGGGAGCUCAGUGACCUCCCUUGGUCGAGGAUUUCGCUGCCUCCUCUAAAGAGAAACAUGUCCAGGCUACCCUUCUAACGAUGUAUUUC